rnacentral:rRNA from 1 species
UUGGCGACCGGCGCACGGGUGAGUAACGCGUAUGCAACUUACCUAUCAGAGGGGGAUAGCCCGGCGAAAGUCGGAUUAAUACCCCAUGAAACAGGGGUCCCGCAUGGGAAUAUUUGUUAAAGAUUCAUCGCUGAUAGAUAGGCAUGCGUUCCAUUAGGCAGUUGGCGGGGUAACGGCCCACCAAACCGACGAUGGAUAGGGGUUCUGAGAGGAAGGUCCCCCACAUUGGAACUGAGACACGGUCCAA